AACCCAUGGUGAGGGCACCUUCUCAAUAAAUCCUUAUAUCUCUCUCAUGCAUCAUAUAGUGUUUCUAAAUCCAUCUAGACAAAAUAAGAGAUACCAUUCCUCAAUUU
rnacentral:snoRNA from 1 species